AGUGAACGCUGGCGGUAGGCCUAACACAUGCAAGUCGAACGGCAGCACAGUAAGAGCUUGCUCUUACGGGUGGCGAGUGGCGGACGGGUGAGGAAUACAUCGGAAUCUACUUUUUCGUGGGGGAUAACGUAGGGAAACUUACGCUAAUACCGCAUACGACCUACGGGUGAAAGCAGGGGAUCUUCGGACCUUUCGCGAUUGAAUGAGCCGGUGUCGGAUUAGCUAGUUGGCGGGGUAAAGGCCCACCAAGGCGACGAUCCGUAGCUGGUCUGAGAGGAUGAUCAGCCACACUGGAACUGAGACACGGUCCAGACUCCUACGGGAGGCAGCAGUGGGGAAUAUUGGACAAUGGGCGCAAGCCUGAUCCAGCCAUACCGCGUGGGUGAAGAAGGCCUUCGGGUUGUAAAGCCCUUUUGUUGGGAAAGAAAAGCAGCAGGUUAAUACCCCGCUGUUCUGACGGUACCCAAAGAAUAAGCACCGGCUAACUUCGUG
rnacentral:rRNA from 1 species